UAACAUUAUUAAAAUAAUAAUAAUAAUAAUAAUAAUAAUAAUAUUAUAAUAAUAUAAUAACUACUACUUCUAUGUAGUAGUUUGUAGAGAUCAAAAUGUAAGAAGGGUGGAGAUGAUGAAAGGUAAAGGGGUGUCCCAUCUAUUUUACCUUCAAAAUCUUUGUUAUGUUUUUAAAAACCACAUCUUUUAUUAUCGUACCUUGUCUUGUUGUUCCUU